rnacentral:rRNA from 1 species
UGGGGAAUUUUGGACAAUGGGCGAAAGCCUGAUCCAGCAAUGCCGCGUGCAGGAUGAAGGCCCUCGGGUUGUAAACUGCUUUUGUACGGAACGAAAAGCCUGGGGCUAAUAUCCCCGGGUCAUGACGGUACCGUAAGAAUAAGCACCGGCUAACUACGUGCCAGCAGCCGCGGUAAUACGUAGGGUGCAAGCGUUAAUCGGAAUUACUGGGCGUAAAGCGUGCGCAGGCGGUUUUGUAAGACAGUGGUGAAAUCCCCGGGCUCAACCUGGGAACUGCCAUUGUGACUGCAAGGCUAGAGUGCGGCAGAGGGGGAUGGAAUUCCGCGUGUAGCAGUGAAAUGCGUAGAUAUGCGGAGGAACACCGAUGGCGAAGGCAAUCCCCUGGGCCUGCACUGACGCUCA